rnacentral:rRNA from 1 species
GACGUAGGGCGCGAGCGUUGUCCGGAUUUAUUGGGCGUAAAGAGCUCGUAGGCGGCUUGUCGCGUCGACUGUGAAAACCCGCGGCUCAACCGUGUGGUCCGCAGUCGAUACGGGCAGGCUAGAGUUCGGUAGGGGAGACUGGAAUUCCUGGUGUAGCGGUGAAAUGCGCAGAUAUCAGGAGGAACACCGGUGGCGAAGGCGGGUCUCUGGGCCGAUACUGACGCUGAGGAGCGAAAGCGUGGGGAGCGAACAGG